GUGUUAUAUAUGUUCGUUUCCCGUACAUUCUUCAGGUAUGGGAAAGGGGAAUGACAAGCUCAAUCUUGGAGAAAAGGGCGCUAAGCCCUCUGAGAAGGAUGUGGAGGUACAUGUAUAAGCGAUUAUGCACGGUCCACAAGAAGAAAACUGGAAUUUACAUUUUGUAUGAGGAUGUCAAAUCCUGCAAUGAUGAAGAUGUGAACGUCUUGUGGUCGAUUGUCGUGAACAUUCACAACAAUACCCACUAUGCCAAUUCAGUCAGUGCCACUGUUCCAACCAACUCGAAUCCUUCGAAUACCUGACGAGGAAGAAAAAUGUAGUUAAGUUGAAUGUACUGCUGUUUUGGAUACACACCCUGAUAUCAUUAGCUUUGAUAGGCUAUAUUAUGACCUAGAAGUAAGGGAAGAAAUCAAUGUAAGAUAUCAGUUUUAUGAAUUUAUUACUUUUAUCAAUAGAUUAAAUGGGUUCUAUUAUACAA